rnacentral:rRNA from 1 species
GAUGAACGCUGGCGGCGUGCCUAAUACAUGCAAGUCGAGCGAACGGACGAGAAGCUUGCUUUUCUGAUGUUAGCGGCGGACGGGUGAGUAACACGUGGAUAACCUACCUAUAAGACUGGGAUAACUUCGGGAAACCGGAGCUAAUACCGGAUAAUAUUUUGAACCGCAUGGUUCAAAAGUGAAAGACGGUCUUGCUGUCACUUAUAGAUGGAUCCGCGCUGCAUUAGCUAGUUGGUAAGGUAACGGCUUACCAAGGCAACGAUGCGUAGCCGACCUGAGAGGAUGAUCGGCCACACUGGAACUGAGACACGGUCCAGACUCCUACGGGAGGCAGCAGUAGGGAAUCUUCCGCAAUGGGCGAAAGCCUGACGGAGCAACGCCGCGUGAGUGAUGAAGGUCUUCGGAUCGUAAAACUCUGUUAUUAGGGAAGAACAUAUGUGUAAGUAACUGUGCACAUCUUGACGGUACCUAAUCAGAAAGCCACGGCUAACUACGUG